GGGGAAUAUUGGACAAUGGGGGCAACCCUGAUCCAGCAAUGCCGCGUGUGUGAAGAAGGCCUUCGGGUUGUAAAGCACUUUUAUCGGGAACGAAACAUUGUCGGCCAAUACCCGGCAAGACUGACGGUACCCGAGGAAUAAGCACCGGCUAACUACGUGCCAGCAGCCGCGGUCAUACGUAGGGUCCAAGCGUUAUCCGGAAUUACUGGGCGUAAAGAGUUGCGUAGGUGGAAUAGUAAGUAGAUAGUGAAAGCGUGUGGCUCAACCAUACAUCCAUUAUCUAAACUGCUAAGCUAGAAGGCGAGAGAGGUAGAUGGAAUUCCUGAUGUAGGGGUAAUAUCCGUAGAUAUCAGGAGGAACACCGAUGGCGUAAGCAGUCUACUGGCUCGUUCUUGACACUAAGGCACGAAAGCGUGGGGAGCAAAC
rnacentral:rRNA from 1 species